rnacentral:rRNA from 1 species
UACGUAGGGUGCGAGCGUUGUCCGGAAUUAUUGGGCGUAAAGAGCUCGUAGGCGGUGUGUCGCGUCGGCCGUGAAAACCUGGGGCUCAACUCUGGGCGUGCGGUCGAUACGGGCAUCACUAGAGUUCGGCAGGGGAGACUGGAAUUCCUGGUGUAGCGGUGAAAUGCGUAGAUAUCUGGAGGAACACCGGUGGCGAAGGCGGGUCUCUGGGCAGUAACUGACGCUGAGGAGCGAAAGCAUGGGGAGCGAACAGG